rnacentral:rRNA from 1 species
GACGAACGCUGGCGGCGUGGAUUAGGCAUGCAAGUCGGACGGUAGGGCUUUAUCGUAAGAUAGAGUUUGAGAGUGGCGAACGGGUGAGUAACACGUAGGAAUCUACCCUUAAGACGGGGACAACCCAGGGAAACUUGGGCUAAUACCGGAUGAGAGUGCGAGAGAUUGCAUUUAAAAGGAUGGCGAAAGUUGUCGCUUAGGGAUGAGCCUGCGGUCUAUUAGUUAGUUGGUGAGGUAAGAGCUCACCAAGGCGAUGAUAGAUAGGCGGCCUUAACGGGUGGUCGCCCACACUGGGAUUGAGAUACGGCCCAGACUCCUACGGGAGGCAGCAGUGGGGAAUUUUGGACAAUGGGCGAAAGCCUGAUCCAGCCAUUCCGCGUGCAGGAUGAAGGCCCUCGGGUUGUAAACUGCUUUUGUACAGAACGAAAAGCUCUGGCUAAUACCUGGAGUCCAUGACGGUACUGUAAGAAUAAGCACCGGCUAACUACGUGCCAGCAGCCGCGGUAAAGCUACG